rnacentral:rRNA from 1 species
UUGUGAGCUCGAUGAGUAGGGCGGGACACGUGGUAUCCUGUCUGAAUAUGGGGGGACCAUCCUCCAAGGCUAAAUACUCCUGACUGACCGAUAGUGAACCAGUACCGUGAGGGAAAGGCGAAAAGAACCCCGGCGAGGGGAGUGAAAAAGAACCUGAAACCGUGUACGUACAAGCAGUGGGAGCCUCUUAAUGGGGUGACUGCGUACCUUUUGUAUAAUGGGUCAGCGACUUAUAUUCUGUAGCAAGGUUAACCGAAUAGGGGAGCCGAAGGGAAACCGAGUCUUAACUGGGCGUUAAGUUGCAGGGUAUAGACCCGAAACCCGGUGAUCUAGCCAUGGGCAGGUUGAAGGUUGGGUAACACUAACUGGAGGACCGAACCGACUAAUGUUGAAAAAUUAGCGGAUGACUUGUGGCUGGGGGUGAAAGGCCAAUCAAACCGGGAGAUAGCUGGUUCUCCCCGAAAGCUAUUUAGGUAGCGCCUCGUGAAUUCAUCUCCGGGGGUAGAGCACUGUUUCGGCAAGGGGGUCAUCCCGACUUACCAACCCGAUGCAAACUGCGAAUACCGGAGAAUGUUAUCACGGGAGACACACGGCGGGUGCUAACGUCCGUCGUGAAGAGGGAAACAACCCAGACCGCCAGCUAAGGUCCCAAAGUCAUGGUUAAGUGGGAAACGAUGUGGGAAGGCCCAGACAGCCAGGAUGUUGGCUUAGAAGCAGCCAUCAUUUAAAGAAAGCGUAAUAGCUCACUGGUCGAGUCGGCCUGCGCGGAAGAUGUAACGGGGCUAAACCAUGCACCGAAGCUGCGGCAGCGACACUAUGUGUUGUUGGGUAGGGGAGCGUUCUGUAAGCCUGUGAAGGUGGCCUGUGAGGGUUGCUGGAGGUAUCAGAAGUGCGAAUGCUGACAUAAGUAACGAUAAAGCGGGUGAAAAGCCCGCUCGCCGGAAGACCAAGGGUUCCUGUCCAACGUUAAUCGGGGCAGGGUGAGUCGACCCCUAAGGCGAGGCCGAAAGGCGUAGUCGAUGGGAAACAGGUUAAUAUUCCUGUACUUGGUGUUACUGCGAAGGGGGGACGGAGAAGGCUAUGUUGGCCGGGCGACGGUUGUCCCGGUUUAAGCGUGUAGGCUGGUUUUCCAGGCAAAUCCGGAAAACCAAGGCUGAGGCGUGAUGACGAGGCACUACGGUGCUGAAGCAACAAAUGCCCUGCUUCCAGGAAAAGCCUCUAAGCAUCAGGUAACAUCAAAUCGUACCCCAAACCGACACAGGUGGUCAGGUAGAGAAUACCAAGGCGCUUGAGAGAACUCGGGUGAAGGAACUAGGCAAAAUGGUGCCGUAACUUCGGGAGAAGGCACGCUGAUAUGUAGGUGAAGUCCCUCGCGGAUGGAGCUGAAAUCAGUCGAAGAUACCAGCUGGCUGCAACUGUUUAUUAAAAACACAGCACUGUGCAAACACGAAAGUGGACGUAUACGGUGUGACGCCUGCCCGGUGCCGGAAGGUUAAUUGAUGGGGUUAGCGGUAACGCGAAGCUCUUGAUCGAAGCCCCGGUAAACGGCGGCCGUAACUAUAACGGUCCUAAGGUAGCGAAAUUCCUUGUCGGGUAAGUUCCGACCUGCACGAAUGGCGUAAUGAUGGCCAGGCUGUCUCCACCCGAGACUCAGUGAAAUUGAACUCGCUGUGAAGAUGCAGUGUACCCGCGGCAAGACGGAAAGACCCCGUGAACCUUUACUAUAGCUUGACACUGAACAUUGAGCCUUGAUGUGUAGGAUAGGUGGGAGGCUUUGAAGUGUGGACGCCAGUCUGCAUGGAGCCGACCUUGAAAUACCACCCUUUAAUGUUUGAUGUUCUAACGUUGGCCCGUAAUCCGGGUUGCGGACAGUGUCUGGUGGGUAGUUUGACUGGGGCGGUCUCCUCCUAAAGAGUAACGGAGGAGCACGAAGGUUGGCUAAUCCUGGUCGGACAUCAGGAGGUUAGUGCAAUGGCAUAAGCCAGCUUGACUGCGAGCGUGACGGCGCGAGCAGGUGCGAAAGCAGGUCAUAGUGAUCCGGUGGUUCUGAAUGGAAGGGCCAUCGCUCAACGGAUAAAAGGUACUCCGGGGAUAACAGGCUGAUACCGCCCAAGAGUUCAUAUCGACGGCGGUGUUUGGCACCUCGAUGUCGGCUCAUCACAUCCUGGGGCUGAAGUAGGUCCCAAGGGUAUGGCUGUUCGCCAUUUAAAGUGGUACGCGAGCUGGGUUUAGAACGUCGUGAGACAGUUCGGUCCCUAUCUGCCGUGGGCGCUGGAGAACUGAGGGGGGCUGCUCCUAGUACGAGAGGACCGGAGUGGACGCAUCACUGGUGUUCGGGUUGUCAUGCCAAUGGCACUGCCCGGUAGCUAAAUGCGGAAGAGAUAAGUGCUGAAAGCAUCUAAGCACGAAACUUGCCCCGAGAUGAGUUCUCCCUGAGACUUAGAGUCUCCUGAAGGAACGUUGAAGACGACGACGUUGAUAGGCCGGGUGUGUAAGCGCAGCGAUGCGUUGAGCUAACCGGUACUAAUGAACCGUGAGGCUUAACCUUACAACGCCGAAG